UAUUAUAGUUGUUAGGAUUGAUCGAUUGUGAAUGAAUCUUAAUUUCACAUUUGAGAUUAUACAUAAUGCAUACACAAUUAAUGUAUACUCAUUGUAUUGAAUAUUGAAUUGUCUGUUUGGAAAGUUUGGAAAGAUAUGUAUUUUUAUAGUUGAUUAAUAUAUUUAAAAAGAGGUUAAGUCUCAUUUUAAAUUUGUUAAGAUUUCAAUUGAUUGUAUUUCUUGUUGUUCUCUAGGUGCAUACUUGAUUAUGGUGAAUUUGACGUCAACACUUUUCAUUUUGUGUACUUAAAGAUCAAAGUGAAAUGCUGCCAAAAUUUUGUCAAAUUUAAUGUGUAGGACUUGGCUUUUAUAUAUUAAUCAAGUAUAAAGAAUUAUCUUUUUGAAUGGGUAGGGCCACAUCUUGUAUUAAAAAGUGAGGUUUACGUAGUUUAUGUUAGACAAACAUACUAAUGGAUCGAAGGUGGAUGAACUUUUUAUGCACAAUUGUUAAAUAUGAGAAUGAAGUGAAAGAGUUUCUUUAGAUUGUACAAAGGAAUGUUACAGACAAUAAUGCAAGGUUCUAUUAUUCUUGUGUGAAUUAUUUCAAUUUGCAAAGGUGUUCGAUAGAGAUUAUAUGAAAUCAUGUUUUAUGUGAUGGAUUCCUUAGUAGUUACAUAGUAUAAACAUGGCAUGGUGAAUUGUUAGACAUGCAACGUGUACAAGUGUCUCAAAUAAAAGAAGAACAUGUCAAUUUAGAGAUGGAAGAUUGAUUGGAAGACAUGAUUUGUGAUAUUAGGGUUGAUCAUUUCAAACAUGCACAUGUGCAUGAUAAUUUCUAUAGUGAUGUAGAGAAACCUUUGUAUCCAGAUUGCGCUAAUUUUACAUAGUUGUUCGUAGUGUUAAGAUUGUUCAAUCUUUAGGUAAAAAAUGGAUGGAGUGAUAAAAACUUCAAAAAAAUUACUCGAGUUGUUAUGGGACAUGCUUCCCAAAGGUAACACAUUGUUGACACGUAAUUAUAAUGAAAAUAAGAUAUUGUGUCUGAUGGGUAUGAAAUAUAAAAUAAAAUCCAUGCAUGUCUGAACAAUUGCAUUUUGUACAGAAAAGAGUUUGAUAACUUGCAUGAGUGUCCACAGUGUGGGAUAUCAUGAUACAAAUUGAAGGAAGGUGACUUUGAAUGUAAGGUGAGCAAGGGUCUUCCUACGAAGGUGUUGUGGUAUCUUCCUAUUGUUCCAAGAUUGAAGCAAUUAAUUACUACCAUCCAUGAUGCCAAAAACAUUAUAAGACAUGUAGAUGAAUGGAAGAAAGAUGGAUAAUUGAUGCAUCUGGGGGAUUCUUUGCAAUGGGAGAAAAUAGAUUCCACAUUUUUAGUUUUAAUUUGGCAAUGAUCCAAGAAACCUUAGGCUUGGACUUGUUAUAGAUGGAAUGAAUUCAUUUGGUAACUUAAGUAGUAAACAUAGUUCACAUGACUUAAGGUUGAUUCUAGAAAGGGGAAAAUUGUUGCUACUACAAAUGAAACACUUACUUACUUUUCUCCUUUCUAAUGUUUGGUUGUGGUAUCACUGGAUCUCGAGAAGUGUGGCAUAAGAUAACUAUAUCUCUUGAGGUUGUUGGCAAGAAGGAGCCUUUCCCUUUAUUCUUAUGCUACCGUGAUGUCAUGGACAUCAUUUAUGGUCAUGGCCUCUUUUCCAUAUCAUUGAUGCAACUAUGAAUGUUAUAAGUAUUAAUUGUAAUGAUUUUUACUCUAAUAUAUUCAAUUAUAAUUUCCUAACAUUAUGUUUAUUUUCACAAUUUAAAGUCUCUUCAUCA